rnacentral:rRNA from 1 species
UGGGGAAUAUUGGACAAUGGGCGCAAGCCUGAUCCAGCCAUGUCGCGUGAGUGAUGAAGGCCCUAGGGUUGUAAAGCUCUUUCACCGGUGAAGAUAAUGACGGUAACCGGAGAAGAAGCCCCGGCUAACUUCGUGCCAGCAGCCGCGGUAAUACGAAGGGGGCUAGCGUUGUUCGGAUUUACUGGGCGUAAAGCGCACGUAGGCGGACUAUUAAGUCAGGGGUGAAAUCCCGGGGCUCAACCCCGGAACUGCCUUUGAUACUGGUAGUCUUGAGUUCGAGAGAGGUGAGUGGAAUUCCGAGUGUAGAGGUGAAAUUCGUAGAUAUUCGGAGGAACACCAGUGGCGAAGGCGGCUCACUGGCUCGAUACUGACGCUGAGGUGCGAAAGCGUGGGGAGCAAACAGG